rnacentral:misc_RNA from 1 species
AAGUCGUAACAAGGUUUCCGUAGGUGAACCUGCGGAAGGAUCAUUAACACGCAUUUAAAGCAUCCAAUAUCAAAAAUCACAACCAAACGGUCAACUAUCUCCUCCCUAUUUCGCACACCGGAGACGGUACGAGUAGGCUAACAUGUAAAUAACAUAACAUUUGUUAUGAAACAAACACGAGAUAACCCCUUUUAAUUAUAUUAUUCAUUAUAAUAUAAUAUAAAACAACUCUUCGAUUUGCUUCUCUUGAGAAGAAAAACGAACUAAACUAAAAUAUACAUUCGAUAUAUUUUUAUUUUACGAAAUAAUAUAUAUUUAUAAGAACAACUCUUAGCAAUGGAUAUCUUGGUUCUC